rnacentral:rRNA from 1 species
GAUGAACGCUAGCGGCAGGCUUAAUACAUGCAAGUCGUGGGGCAGCAUGAGUAGCAAUACUUGAUGGCGACCGGCAAACGGGCGAGGAACACGUACACAACCUUCCUUCAAGCGGGGAAUAGCCCAGAGAAAUUUGGAUUAAUACCCCAUAAUAUAUUUGAUAAGGCAUCUUAUUAAUAUUAAAGCUUCGGCACUUGAUGAUGGGUGUGCGGCUGAUUAGAUAGUUGGCGGGGUAACGGCCCACCAAGUCUACGAUCAGUAGCUGAUGUGAGAGCAUGAUCAGCCACACGGGCACUGAGACACGGGCCCGACUCCUACGGGAGGCAGCAGUAAGGAAUAUUGGACAAUGGACGAAAGUCUGAUCCAGCCAUGCCGCGUGAAGGAUUAAGGUCCUCUGGAUUGUAAACUUCUCUUAUAUGGGACGAAAAAGGGCAUUCUUGUUCACUUGACGGUACCAUAUGAAUAAGCACCGGCUAACUCCGUGCCAG